CUUGUGGGUUAUCUUGGCUGUAUUUAUAGGCAAUGUGCUGAUUUUAGUUAUUGGACCUGCUGUGUUAGCAUGGGAAGUUACUGGGGGGUUGUGGAAAAUUACAGCCGAUGGGUGUAAGAACAAAGCACAGGAGCUGGUGGUUUGGCAACAGUAUCUUGUUAUAGUCGCGCGAAGCUUUCCUAACACGAAAGGCAUGUAGUUACAAGGACCUAAGAUAAGAUAUGCAUGCUUUCUUACUAACCUAUCAUGAGCUCAGCUUUUGUAAUAUGUAUGAGCUAAUUAGUUGGUAUACCAAUCAGUAUAAUCCACGAUAGUAGUUGUAAUGUAUGUAACAGUAUAAAAGGAUUGUGUAGAGAACAAUAAAGUGGACACUUUGCUUGCAUCAAGUUGCGUCCCCGUCUCUUCAUCGCGGCAAAUGGUGCCCCCCGACGUGAUCUUUGGUGAAGACUCCGCCGGAGGCUGAUAAUCACCUAUCUGGUGGCGUGCUGCGAGUCCCGCAGAACUGGGAACGCUGCUACAAGGAGCAGGGAAAAGCCGGCUACUGAAGUCAUCACCCCCGUCUGGAACGAGAGAAGGGAACCGACAAGCGGAUUUGCUUACGCUACCGGUGCAGGUGUUACCAGAUCGAUUAGCGCAAGCUCGACUCAGCCACUCCUUUUUUCAUCAAAAUGCUGCAGGCCUUAAGCGUCAAUUUGACCUCACUACACAACAAGCCCAUGAUAUCAUUGCGGUGUGUCCUGAUUGUCAAAGGCACUCUUUCCCUUCUAUAGCAGGAGGAGUUAACCCCAGAGGACUACAAAGCCUUCAACUCUGGCAAACAGAUGUCACUCAUUUUGCUGAAUUUGGUCGUUUAAAGUUUGUUCAUUGCUCUAUUGAUACAUUUUCCGGAAUGUUAUUUGCCUCCUGUCAUGUAGGAGAAAAAGCACGCGAUGUGCGAAAACAUCUGAUGCGCGCCUUUGCUACUUUAGGGGUACCCUCUCAAAUCAAAACUGAUAAUGGCCCUGCGUAUAUGUCUAAGACCUUAACGACCUUUUUUGCCUCUUGGGGUAUAUCACACAUUACAGGUAUCCCUCAUUCUCCUACGGGACAAGCUUUGAUAGAACGAUCUCACCAAACCUUAAAACGUUUGUUAUUAAAACAAAAAGGGGGAAUAGGGGCUGCUACACCAGAGGAGCGCUUACAGAAAGCCUUGUAUGUUUUUAAUUUUUUGAAUUGUUCCCUGUUAGACAGCAAUCCUCCAGUAGUUCGUCAUUUUAGCACAAACACCCUUUUUGAACCCAAGAUUAAGCCGCCAGUAUUGAUCCGGGACCCCGAAACAGGUAAAGUGAUGGGACCCUAUCCCCUUGUUACAUGGGGUAGAGGUUAUGCUUGUGUUUCCACAGAGAGAGGUCCUCGCUGGAUCCCGGCAAAGAACGUGAGACCCUUCCGAGAAACAUUGCAACGGCAGUCUUCUGAUAACGCUCCAGAACCUGCGUUCGAUGAGGAGAACGUUGCUCCCGAAUGAAUUCCGUCUCAGAAACAGAUAAGCGAGAGCUUCAAUGUCCAGACUGCGAAGUGUGCAAUUUCUGGAUCCUUAGAAUUUGUGCUGACUGCGAAAGACCACAGUGGGUAAAUAGGUGCCGCGUAAAACGGUGGUGUGACUAUUGUUUGCAGGAUUAUCAAGGGCUCUUACAGAGGCUGUCAGUGGAAACUGGAAUUGAGGGCGAUAGAACUCGCUCCUAUCAGGAAAAAUUAGAAAAAUGGCAUAGGUAUAUUUUUGAGCAAUCAAAUAUUGUCCUUUGGAAAGCCAUUGAAUGUGAUAAAUCUGUUCCAGUACCACAGACCUGGGAAGUAAACCCCGAUAAGUGGGAGGAAACAAAAAGGAGGUGUCGGAAAAAGAGAAACAGAAGGAAGACUAAGAGCCUGCAGGAAUGGGCCAAGUAUUAAUCUUUUUGUUAAGUACUAUAAGCUUAGGUCUUAGCUUUGAUUUACAUCAUGUUGACCCUCGUACUAAUGUGUGGCUCACGUGGGCAAAUCGUACUGGGACCACAGACUUUUGUCUGUCCCUGGCGCAAGUAAGCGAUCCGUUUAGAACAUGUUUAAUUGGGUACCCAUAUGUACACCUAGACGAUUUUCGAGGUUACGUUAACACCCCUGAUUUGUCGAAUGUACUCAAUUCCUCAUAUUGGCAAUGGAGGAGAAAUAACAGUGACGGAUGGUGUAUAAAAAGUAGCGACUGGCCAGUAGAGCAGGGAGCCAUGCUCCAGCAAGGCUUAAUUCAAAGGCUCAAUUUCUCUAAUCACUUACCGUUUCAGGAACUGACACUUUGGGGCUCCUUCCCUCCACAGGGGGAAUGGGAGAACAUCUCAAAUCGCGAAAAUUGCUCUAAUAUGAGUCCGGAGAUUCUUCCUGUUAACGGGACUGGAGUGGUCUAUUUUGGUGAUAGCUGGACUGGGUAUUUGAUUCGAGAUGGUCACAAAGAGACAUUAGAUUCACUGAUUCAUUAUCAAAACGUGUCAGGUAACUCUGGUCAUUGGAACAUUUCAAUGAAUACAGGGGCUAGAGAUGUGGCCGAUAUCACUGGACAGGUAAGGUUGCCAAAAGGCUAUUUCUUGAUUUGUGGAGAUAGAGCAUGGCCCGGAAUUCCUUUUAAACCUGUGGGAGGACCUUGUUAUAUUGGGAGACUUACGCUGUUCGCACCUCAUAUGAGGGACAUGCUUAAUCGUUCCCUGAGCAAUAGUACCAGAUCAAAAAGGUCAUUGCGACAAUUACAACCAGAUUGCGAUGAUCACGUCAAUUUAGGGUCUUUAGGAUCUACUAUAGCUCUGUCCCUAUUUUUGCCUGGUGGAAUGGCCGCAAGCAAUUGGAAUAAAAUAAAACAAUUGGCAUGCUGGGCUGUCAAAGAAUUUAACACGACCUCUGACAUUUUGUCAGGAUUAGCUCAAGAUGUAGAUAGCUUACGACAUGUAGUCCUACAGAAUCGUGCCGCCAUAGAUUUCCUUUUACUAGCCCACGGACAUGGAUGUCAAGAAUUUGAAGGAAUGUGUUGCAUGAAUCUAUCUGAUCACUCUGUGAGCAUUCAUAAACAGAUUGCAGAACUACGAGAAAGGAUUCACAAUGUGCAGGAAGGAAUGGAUGGACUCGAUGGGUGGCUAGCUUCUUGGGGAAUUACAGGGUGGAUAAAAGAUUUACUUAAACAGGGAAUUUUGAUCCUUUUAGUAAUUUGUGUAUUAUUACUAACGAUUCCAUGUAUUUUGCAGUGCUUACAAAAGUCGAUAACCGCUUCAGUAAAUAAGAUUUUUCUUGUACAAGCACAAGACCUUCCGAAAACUCCCAGUACAGAAAUGUUGGUGAAGCAAGACGUCCUCGAACUGGUUGGGCGCCGACCUUGGGAAGAAGCAAAUGUUUGAAAACAAAAAGGGGGAGAUGUGGGUUAUCUUGGCUGUAUUUAUAGGCAAUGUGCUGAUUUUAGUUAUUGGACCUGCUGUGUUAGCAUGGGAAGUUACUGGGGGGUUGUGGAAAAUUACAGCCGAUGGGUGUAAGAACAAAGCACAGGAGCUGGUGGUUUGGCAACAGUAUCUUGUUAUAGUCGCGCGAAGCUUUCCUAACACGAAAGGCAUGUAGUUACAAGGACCUAAGAUAAGAUAUGCAUGCUUUCUUACUAACCUAUCAUGAGCUCAGCUUUUGUAAUAUGUAUGAGCUAAUUAGUUGGUAUACCAAUCAGUAUAAUCCACGAUAGUAGUUGUAAUGUAUGUAACAGUAUAAAAGGAUUGUGUAGAGAACAAUAAAGUGGACACUUUGCUUGCA